rnacentral:rRNA from 1 species
AUUCUGUAGCAAGGUUAACCGAAUAGGGGAGCCGAAGGGAAACCGAGUCUUAACUGGGCGUUAAGUUGCAGGGUAUAGACCCGAAACCCGGUGAUCUAGCCAUGGGCAGGUUGAAGGUUGGGUAACACUAACUGGAGGACCGAACCGACUAAUGUUGAAAAAUUAGCGGAUGACUUGUGGCUGGGGGUGAAAGGCCAAUCAAACCGGGAGAUAGCUGGUUCUCCCCGAAAGCUAUUUAGGUAGCGCCUCGUGAAUUCAUCUCCGGGGGUAGAGCACUGUUUCGGCAAGGGGGUCAUCCCGACUUACCAACCCGAUGCAAACUGCGAAUACCGGAGAAUGUUAUCACGGGAGACACACGGCGGGUGCUAACGUCCGUCGUGAAGAGGGAAACAACCCAGACCGCCAGCUAAGGUCCCAAAGUCAUGGUUAAGUGGGAAACGAUGUGGGAAGGCCCAGACAGCCAGGAUGUUGGCUUAGAAGCAGCCAUCAUUUAAAGAAAGCGUAAUAGCUCACUGGUCGAGUCGGCCUGCGCGGAAGAUGUAACGGGGCUAAACCAUGCACCGAAGCUGCGGCAGCGACGCUGAUGCGUUGUUGGGUAGGGGAGCGUUCUGUAAGCCUGUGAAGGUGUGCUGUGAGGCAUGCUGGAGGUAUCAGAAGUGCGAAUGCUGACAUAAGUAACGAUAAAGCGGGUGAAAAGCCCGCUCGCCGGAAGACCAAGGGUUCCUGUCCAACGUUAAUCGGGGCAGGGUGAGUCGACCCCUAAGGCGAGGCCGAAAGGCGUAGUCGAUGGGAAACAGGUUAAUAUUCCUGUACUUGGUGUUACUGCGAAGGGGGGACGGAGAAGGCUAUGUUGGCCGGGCGACGGUUGUCCCGGUUUAAGCGUGUAGGCUGGUUUUCCAGGCAAAUCCGGAAAAUCAAGGCUGAGGCGUGAUGACGAGGCACUACGGUGCUGAAGCAACAAAUGCCCUGCUUCCAGGAAAAGCCUCUAAGCAUCAGGUAACAUCAAAUCGUACCCCAAACCGACACAGGUGGUCAGGUAGAGAAUACCAAGGCGCUUGAGAGAACUCGGGUGAAGGAACUAGGCAAAAUGGUGCCGUAACUUCGGGAGAAGGCACGCUGAUAUGUAGGUGAAGUCCCUCGCGGAUGGAGCUGAAAUCAGUCGAAGAUACCAGCUGGCUGCAACUGUUUAUUAAAAACACAGCACUGUGCAAACACGAAAGUGGACGUAUACGGUGUGACGCCUGCCCGGUGCCGGAAGGUUAAUUGAUGGGGUCAGCGCAAGCGAAGCUCUUGAUCGAAGCCCCGGUAAACGGCGGCCGUAACUAUAACGGUCCUAAGGUAGCGAAAUUCCUUGUCGGGUAAGUUCCGACCUGCACGAAUGGCGUAAUGAUGGCCAGGCUGUCUCCACCCGAGACUCAGUGAAAUUGAACUCGCUGUGAAGAUGCAGUGUACCCGCGGCAAGACGGAAAGACCCCGUGAACCUUUACUAUAGCUUGACACUGAACAUUGAGCCUUGAUGUGUAGGAUAGGUGGGAGGCUUAGAAGUGUGGACGCCAGUCUGCAUGGAGCCGACCUUGAAAUACCACCCUUUAAUGUUUGAUGUUCUAACGUUGACCCGUAAUCCGGGUUGCGGACAGUGUCUGGUGGGUAGUUUGACUGGGGCGGUCUCCUCCUAAAGAGUAACGGAGGAGCACGAAGGUUGGCUAAUCCUGGUCGGACAUCAGGAGGUUAGUGCAAUGGCAUAAGCCAGCUUGACUGCGAGCGUGACGGCGCGAGCAGGUGCGAAAGCAGGUCAUAGUGAUCCGGUGGUUCUGAAUGGAAGGGCCAUCGCUCAACGGAUAAAAGGUACUCCGGGGAUAACAGGCUGAUACCGCCCAAGAGUUCAUAUCGACGGCGGUGUUUGGCACCUCGAUGUCGGCUCAUCACAUCCUGGGGCUGAAGUAGGUCCCAAGGGUAUGGCUGUUCGCCAUUUAAAG